rnacentral:rRNA from 1 species
CUCGGAGGCGAUGAAGGACGUGAUAAGCUGCGAUAAGCUGCGGGGAGGUGCAAAUAACCCUUGAUCCGCGGAUUUCCGAAUGGGACAACCCGUUAUCUUGAAGAGAUAACAUCCAUCUUAUGAUGGAGGCUAACGCAGGGAACUGAAACAUCUUAGUACCUGCAGGAAAAGAAAAUAACAAUGAUUCCCCCAGUAGUGGCGAGCGAACGGGGAAAAGCCCAAACCUCAGAUGUUACGGCAUCUGGGGGGUUGUAGGACCGCGACAUCGCAAGA